rnacentral:lncRNA from 1 species
CGAUUUGAAGUUACGCCUGAUUUAGGGUUUAUGUGUGACGGAUUUUAGGUUAUGGUUUUGUCUCAGGGUUUGGAGUCUAUCGUGCUGAUAACGUGUUGUGAUUCGAAGGUUUAGAAACUGAAUAAUUCUCUGUGUUUCUUUUUGUAUAUUAUUAAUGAUCAAAAGGGGUUCCUUAUAUAAGGAUUACAAGAAGAAGAUAAAUGGAAAGUAUCCAAAACCUAAACUCACUAAAAAUAGAAAAACAACUAAUACAUAAUAAUGAAAAGAUAACAUCUAAUAGGAAAAGAAAAUUGGGUUUCCUUUUCUCCUAGUCUUGUGGCCGCCUCUCUCUCUCCUCUGGGUCGGCUCUCUCUCUCCUUAAGUCGGCUAGGAUGUGGCUGACUCUUUCUCCCUUUGACACGGCCGCGGUUGGGCCUGGUCGUGGCCUGAUGGGCCUUCUAUUCUGGUCUUGGUUAAUGGCAAUCCACUCUAUGAUUCAUAACACAUCGGUCAUUCUUCUUAUUGUUUUGUAGGAUGUCACUCAUAAUAUAAUUUUAUUGUUGGUAUUACAUAUAAAUUUAGGGGGAUUUGCCAAUUAUGAAUCAAAACUUAACUUUGAUAGCAAAAGUAUACCCAAACUUGAAUCAAUUGCAAAACUAACCUAAAAGCCUUGUGAAACUACCGCCAGUCUCUUGUAACCAAACAAAAAAACAUAAGCCAUUUUUACGAAUAUAGCCCUAGUAAGUUGUCUGAGUCAUCUGAGAUGCUAGAAGUCGUCUGAUGUAGUUGAUCUUAAAAAUAAUUUAUAAAUUAAAAAAAAAAACAUUUUGACAAAUGUAAAAUUAAAAUCAUGUAAUUAUAAACAGUUUUAAGUAA